GGGAGCAGCUGCUACUCAGCUCCAGAGGCUGCUUGCCAUGAGAGCGUGUGCCCAGGGUGGCCAAAUCAUCUGAUUUUUUCCAACAGAAGUCAGAAAUCCUGAUCAUCAUGCUUCCAACUUUCAAAGAUGUUCACGGUCGAGUCGGAGAGGGUGAGAAGAAAAUAAAUUGCUACAUAGAUGUUGAGAUGGCCACUGGCAGAAGAGUGUGUUUGUGUGCUCAUGAACGUCAAGGACUGUUUUGUCACCUGUAAAAUGAAGAUUCCCCACCAAGUCACCCUCCAAGAUGAGGUGGGCAUCGGUGGCAAGGUGUUGGUGUGUGGCUGCAGAGCUUGGAACCCUCAGCCACUGGGCUGUGUGCCACCCUGGGCCGAGAGAACAAACGCCUGGAAGACCAUGGGGACGAGCUCCCUCAGUCCUGUCCUGCCACACCACCCAGGAAGCCCCGGGUACCCGAGGACGGAUGGCCACCUCCAGCUACCUCCGCAACCUAAAGAAAACUGAGUUUGAGGUUCCCUUGCAGAUAACCCACAAUUCAACCCAUAAAACCCUGGGAACCGUAGACACCCUCAAGUCCGACUCUCCAUUUAACAGAGCGGGCAGCCAAGGCACAGAGAGGGCAAGUGACACAACCAGUGUCACACCACUUGCAUCCGAAUCUACUCAAAAAGCCCCCAGGCCAAGACUCUUCACCCCUCCAGGAGGGGCUGGGGUCCUCCCUCUUCACUUCCAAGUCUCCCACUCAGGUGGAAAGUAGAGAUCACACAUGUUCUCCUCACCAAAGAUGGGUGGGCGGGGAAUUAGGAAUCAAAAAUUCAGUGUGAAAAUACAGACAUCUAACCGCCCAGCCAAUUUUCCAUCACACUUAGCAACUCCAUUUGAUGUGCUAGUUUGCUAAUAAAACAUGAGCAUUACGGUAA